ensembl:Y_RNA Y_RNA Y RNA
GGCUGGUCCGAAGGUAGUGUGUUAUCUCAAUUGAUUGUUCACAGUCAGUUACAGAUUGAACUCCUUGUUCUAUUCUUUCCCCCCUUCUCACUAUUGCACUUGACUAGUCCUUU